rnacentral:rRNA from 1 species
UACGAAGGGGGCUAGCGUUGCUCGGAAUUACUGGGCGUAAAGGGCGCGUAGGCGGAUUGCUAAGUCAGGGGUGAAAUCCCACGGCUCAACCGUGGAACUGCCUUUGAUACUGGCAAUCUCGAGUCCGAGAGAGGUGAGUGGAAUUCCGAGUGUAGAGGUGAAAUUCGUAGAUAUUCGGAGGAACACCAGUGGCGAAGGCGGCUCACUGGCUCGGUACUGACGCUGAGGUGCGAAAGCGUGGGGAGCAAACAGG